UACGGGGGGGGCAAGCGUUGUUCGGAAUUACUGGGCGUAAAGGGCGAGUAGGUGGCCAUCUAAGUCAGACGUGAAAUCCCCCGGCUUAACCUGGGAACUGCGUCUGAUACUGGACGGCUCGAGUAUGGGAGAGGGAGGUAGAAUUCCAGGUGUAGCGGUGAAAUGCGUAGAUAUCUGGAGGAAUACCGGUGGCGAAGGCGGCCUCCUGGACCAUUACUGACACUGAUCCGCGAAAGCUAGGGGAGCAAACGGG
rnacentral:rRNA from 1 species